GACGAACGCUUGCGGCGUGCUUAACACAUGCAAGUCGAACGGAAAGGCCCUGCUUUUGUGGGGUGCUCGAGUGGCGAACGGGUGAGUAACACGUGAGUAACCUGCCCUUGACUUUGGGAUAACUUCAGGAAACUGGGGCUAAUACCGGAUAGGAGCUCCUGCUGCAUGGUGGGGGUUGGAAAGUUUCGGCGGUUGGGGAUGGACUCGCGGCUUAUCAGCUUGUUGGUGGGGUAGUGGCUUACCAAGGCUUUGACGUGUAGCCGGCCUGAGAGGGUGACCGGCCACAUUGGGACUGAGAUACGGCCCAGACUCCUACGGGAGGCAGCAGUGGGGAAUAUUGCACAAUGGGCGGAAGCCUGAUGCAGCAACGCCGCGUGCGGGAUGACGGCCUUCGGGUUGUAAACCGCUUUCGCCUGUGACGAAGCGUGAGUGACGGUAAUGGGUAAAGAAGCACCGGCUAACUACGUGCCAGCAGCCGCGGUGAUACGUAGGGUGCGAGCGUUGUCCGGAUUUAUUGGGCGUAAAGGGCUCGUAGGUGGUUGAUCGCGUCGGAAGUGUAAUCUUGGGGCUUAACCCUGAGCGUGCUUUCGAUACGGGUUGACUUGAGGAAGGUAGGGGAGAAUGGAAUUCCUGGUGGAGCGGUGGAAUGCGCAGAUAUCAGGAGGAACACCAGUGGCGAAGGCGGUUCUCUGGGCCUUUCCUGACGCUGAGGAGCGAAAGCGUGGGGAGCGAACAGGCUUAGAUACCCUGGUAGUCCACGCUGUAAACGGUGGGUACUAGGUGUGGGGUCCAUUCCACGGGUUCCGUGCCGUAGCUAACGCUUUAAGUACCCCGCCUGGGGAGUACGGCCGCAAGGCUAAAACUCAAAGGAAUUGACGGGGCCCCGCACAAGCGGCGGAGCAUGCGGAUUAAUUCGAUGCAACGCGUAGAACCUUACCUGGGUUUGACAUGGAUCGGGAGUGCUCAGAGAUGGGUGUGCCUCUUUUGGGGUCGGUUCACAGGUGGUGCAUGGCUGUCGUCAGCUCGUGUCGUGAGAUGUUGGGUUAAGUCCCGCAACGAGCGCAACCCUUGUUCACUGUUGCCAGCACGUUAUGGUGGGGACUCAGUGGAGACCGCCGGGGUCAACUCGGAGGAAGGUGGGGAUGACGUCAAGUCAUCAUGCCCCUUAAGUCCAGGGCUUCACGCAUGCUACAAUGGCUGGUACAGAGAGUGGCGAGCCUGUGAGGGUGAGCGAAUCUCGGAAAGCCGGUCUCAGUUCGGAUUGGGGUCUGCAACUCGACCUCAUGAAGUCGGAGUCGCUAGUAAUCGCAGAUCAGCAACGCUGCGGCGAAUACGUUCCCGGGGCU
rnacentral:rRNA from 1 species